rnacentral:lncRNA from 1 species
GAUAGACUUAGGGUUUCAUGCAAUCAAGAUUAUAGUGAUAUAGAAUACUUAAAUUGUCAAUCCUAGAACUCAAAUUCUAAUGUAAAGAUAUCCGGUUUCCGCAUGCGAGUCUUAUGUUUUGACUAAGUCCAAUAUCUCAGCUUCCGUUUGUUGAUACGGAUCGAAGAUCGAUUGAUGCUAUGAGAUUAGCGUCAAUCGAUGUUUUCUUAGGCAAGUUUUAGCGAGUUGAUUGAUAGGUUCACUAGUCUUAACUAAAUCAGCUAUCGCUUGUUACUAGCAAUCCAAGCUCAUCAAGGGAAUCUAUUCCAGUGCAGAACCUACCAUCGUAGUUGUCCAUAAUCCUAAGUUCUGGGUUCUAGCUAGCUACUCUAGAACACAAGCAUUACAAGCAAUUCUUUGAAGGAUAUCUAUCACCUUAAGGAUUAUAUAUUUUAGGGUAAUCCCU